AGUGAACGCUGGCGGUAGGCCUAACACAUGCAAGUCGAACGGCAGCACAGGAGAGCUUGCUCUCUAGGUGGCGAGUGGCGGACGGGUGAGGAAUACAUCGGAAUCUGCCCAGUCGUGGGGGAUAACGUAGGGAAACUUCCGCUAAUACCGCAUACGACCUUCGGGUGAAAGAGGGGGAUCGCAAGACCUCUCGCGAUUGGAUGAGCCGAUGUCGGAUUAGCUAGUUAGCGGGGUAAUGGCCCACCAAGGCGACGAUCCGUAGCUGGUCUGAGAGGAUGAUCAGCCACACUGGAACUGAGACACGGUCCAGACUCCUACGGGAGGCAGCAGUGGGGAAUAUUGGACAAUGGGCGCAAGCCUGAUCCAGCCAUACCGCGUGGGUGAAGAAGGCCUUCGGGUUGUAAAGCCCUUUUGUUGGGAAAGAAAUCUUUCAGGCUAAUACCCUGGGAGGAUGACGGUACCCAAAGAAUAAGCACCGGCUAACUUCGUG
rnacentral:rRNA from 1 species